GAUGUCUACAUUGUAUUUCAAAAUAUCAAAUCCAUCUGAUGGAUUAUCCUGGCCAAGGUUUUGCUAAAUUGAAAUACAGCGACUCAUUCUUCUCCAACUCUUGGAGUGGUCAAUUUCAUCUCGAUCACACUCUGACUUCACAAGUACUUGACUGUGCCCAGAAGCCUUCCAUCACUGAAUUAAAAAUUUAGUUAGUCCAGUACCAAAG
rnacentral:lncRNA from 1 species